rnacentral:rRNA from 1 species
GGGCAGCUACCCAGCAAUGGGAUGCGAAUCUCGAAAGCCUGUCUCAGUUCGGAUUGGAGGCUGAAACCCGCCUCCAUGAAGUUGGAUUCGCUAGUAAUCGCGCAUCAGCCAUGGCGCGGUGAAUACGUUCCCGGGCCUUGUACACACCGCCCGUCAAGCCAUGGGAGCCGGGGGUGCCUGAAGUUCGUGACCGCAAGGAGCGACCUAGGGCAAAACUGGUGACUGGGGCUAAGUCGUAACAAGGUAUC